UGUCUGGUUUCAUUCUAUAGGACAGAAAAAAGAACAGAUGAGUGAAGGACAAACAGGACAGAAGACGCAGAAGCAGAAUGAUUCUGCUGUUCUUUAUGUAUCAUUUAAUCAACCACCUAAAGACACCAAAACAGAAGAUGAUGAUGUGACGUACUCAACCGUAGUCUACAUUAACUCUCACAGGGCAUUAAGAGAUACUGCAGUAUAUACCAGCAGCAAAACUAACUAAUUGUAAUAGUAAAAAUAAUUACAAUGUUAUUAUAUUAUUGUUAGAAAGGAUUCCUAUUUAGUUGUAAUUCCAUGCUUCACCACUAGAGGCAGAUAUACAGUUUACCAAGCAAUGACAAGCUCUCUGGGACAUCACAGUGCACCGUCCUCCACCAAAAGUAUAAAAGACCAGAACACGGAGCUGCUGCAUGCAUUCUGCAUCACGCAACCUACUGAACAGCAGCUAGCAGAAGACAGCAAGAAUCACCUCAUAUACAAUCAAUUCUAUACCCAGUAGAGUGUUCUGAAUCCUGUAUCGUGUUUUUACUGACGCGCUGGGGCGAGCACAAUCCACUGAUCAGCGUAUACCAGAUAGUGAGAAUCCUUAUAUGGUCCUUCGAGCUAGAGAGAAAACUUCUUAACAAUUAUUAUUAUAUAUAUAUAUUUUAUUGAGAUAUAUAUACUCGUUAUUACAUCUGUCAGGUUUUUCAGUUCAUAUUUGUGACUGUAUGUCAACACGUAUACACUUUAACAUGAAAAACAAAUAUCAAUUGUAUUACGUUUUUUAAUCACUUUUAUUUUUUUUAAUAUAAUAUUAGGGUAGUAAUAUAUGUCAUUGUGAAAAUAAUUAAUAAUUAAUUAAUGCUUUUUGCAACGUAUAAUCUGAUUUAUCUAAC